rnacentral:misc_RNA from 1 species
AAGUCGUAACAAGGUUUCCGUAGGUGAACCUGCGGAAGGAUCAUUAAAGAGUAAGGGUCUCUGGCCCGAACCUCCAACCCUCUGUUGUUAUAACUACUUCGUUGCUUUGGCGGGACCGCGAAGGUUCUCCCGAGCGCGCCAGUCCCCGGACAGGCGAGCGCCCGCCAGAGUCUAACCAAACUCUUGUUUUAAACCAGUCGUCUGAGUAUAAAAUUUUAAUUAAAUUAAAACUUUCAACAACGGAUCUCUUGGUUCUC